UACAGAGGGUGCAAGCGUUAAUCGGAAUUACUGGCGUAAGCGCAACGUAGGUGGAUAUUUAAGUCGGAUGUGAAAGCCCUGGGCUUAACCUGGGAACUGCAUCCGAUACUGGAUGGCUUGAAUCCGGGAGAGGGAUGCAGAAUUCCAGGUGUAGCGGUGAAAUGACGUAGAUAUCUGGAGGAAUACCGGUGGCGAAGGCGGCAUCCUGGACCGGCAUUGACGCUGAGUGAGCGAAAGCUAGGGGAGCAAACGGG
rnacentral:rRNA from 1 species